GAUGCAGACAUACUGAAGGUUGCUAAGGGCUGUUUCCUGGCUUGGGAAUCGGGCUGAACUGGCUGAUCUAACAGUUCGCUGAGAUCCCAUUAGAACGAUACCACUUCCCAGAGACAACGGGAGUCAUGAGCCAUCCGCCCACCGCAUGUUCGGGCAUGCGCGGCCCUGACUGCAUCACCCCACCGCGUUCUGAUCUGAAUCCCCACCGAGGGACCACUGGCCUCUCAAGCUCUCCCUGCCAGGGUCUGGGGCAGCCCCCCUCUCUCUUUGCCCACCUCGGAUGCUCUCCCGAGGCAGCCAGGGGCCCAUCUCUGCCUCGGCAGCUCACAUCACUGGCCCUUUCUUCACCUGAGCUCCCACUUUCCCAACAUGGGGCAAGGCCCCUGUUUCACCACAGCAGUAAAAGCUCUUACGUCUUCUAAAGCAGGACGGUCCUCCUCCUUCCCAGUGGAAGCACCAGGAAGCUCCCCCAAACUCUCCUGCUGCCUCCAAGUCAUACAGUAAUAACAGUAGCAGUAAAAAAAAAUUUUUUUUUGACAUCAUUACUGUUUCUCUUAUAAUAAGAUAUGGGAUUAGUAUGAUACGAUAAGAUACGGUGUCUCUUAAUAUUAUCAAAACUUGCAC
rnacentral:lncRNA from 1 species